UCUUGUUUUAACAGAUUCAGGGAUCAACAUUUUGUUGCUGUUUACUUACUUUAAAAUGACAAGUAAGGGUCAAGCUGUCCCUAUCUCCUUGAGCGACUGCUUCAUAUUGUCGAUUUGUAAACUGUAUCUUUUAAAUGUUUCCAUCAUGUACCAGAAAGAAAAGACCUAAUGAGCACAAAUUACAAAUUGCAAAACUGACAUCAGCAAGCCACAGAACUAAAAAUAAUACAUGUACGUUUCUAAAUAAAAAUGUUGGAUGCCAA